CCAGACUCCUACGGGAGGCAGCAGUGGGGAAUAUUGGACAAUGGACCGAGAGUCUGAUCCAGCAAUUCUGUGUGCACGAUGAAGUUUUUCGGAAUGUAAAGUGCUUUCAGUUGGGAAGAAAGAAAUGACGGUACCAACAGAAGAAGUGACGGCUAAAUACGUGCCAGCAGCCGCGGUAAUACGUAUGUCACGAGCGUUAUCCGGAUUUAUUGGGCGUAAAGCGCGUCUAGGUGGUUAUGUAAGUCUGAUGUGAAAAUGCAGGGCUCAACUCUGUAUUGCGUUGGAAACUGUGUAACUAGAGUACUGGAGAGGUAAGCGGAACUACAAGUGUAGAGGUGAAAUUCGUAGAUAUUUGUAGGAAUGCCGAUGGGGAAGCCAGCUUACUGGACAGAUACUGACGCUAAAGCGCGAAAGCGUGGGUAGCAAACAGGAUUAGAUACCCUGGUAGUCCACGCUGUAAACGAUGAUUACUAGGUGUUGGGGGUCGAACCUCAGCGCCCAAGCAAACGCGAUAAGUAAUCCGCCUGGGGAGUACGUACGCAAGUAUGAAACUCAAAGGAAUUGACGGGGGCCCGCACAAG
rnacentral:rRNA from 1 species